rnacentral:RNase_P_RNA from 1 species
CCAGCUGGCCGGGCGGCCGCGCCUACCGAUGCCGAAAGGCGGUGGGCGAGGAAAGUCCGGGCUCCAUGGAAACACGGUGCCGGUUAACGACCGGCGGGGGCGACCCCAGGGAAAGUGCCACAGAAAGCAAACCGCCGAGCCGCCUUCGGGCGGCGGCAAGGGUGAAAGGGUGGGGCAAGAGCCCACCGCGCGACCGGCAACGGGAGCGGCAUGGCAAACCCCACCGGGAGCAAGACCGAAUAGGGACGGCGCGGAGGGAAACCUCCGGGGACAGUUUUCGGUCCGCCGUCCGGGUAGGUUGCGCGAGGCGUCCAGCAAUGGGCGCCCAAGAUGAAUGGCCGCCGCGUCCGUCCGCCCGCAAGGCGACGGGCCAUACAGAACCCGGCUUACAGGCCAGCUGGCGCU